rfam:Myotis davidii contig108633, whole genome shotgun sequence.
GGCAGUUCUAGGGUGAUGCACCCUGGAAUCGGGCUCCCUCCUAUCUGCUUCUAGGUGUAUCACCCGAGAACUGCU